rnacentral:pre_miRNA from 2 species
UCUUACGAAUGAACAAAGAAAGUGGUUUCUUGAGACAGAAUCUAUCCCUGGUGAAGAUGUUGUGAA